GCCCGUGAAACGAAUCUUAGUUCUUCCUUAACUCCUCUCCAUGAACCACCCAACAAAUCCACAAUGUAGUGAGUCAAGAGCAACUUAAAGGAGGUACAGCUCCUUUAAAAAAGAACACAAUCUCCUCUAGCGGAUAAAGCCACCCAACACCUACACACCCCUGAACUGUGGGCCUUUAAGCAGCCAUCAAUAAAGAGUGCGUCAAAGCUCUACACCUAAAAAAUCCAAAGACAACAUGACUCCCUUACUACCAACGGGCUAACCUAUAUCAAUAGGAGAAUUAAUGCUAAAAUAAGUAACUAGAGGUUCCCCUCUCAAGGCGCAAGCUUACAUCAUCACAUUAUUAACAGACCGCCCACAUAUCACAACUUCAACAAGACCAAAUAUUAAACCUACCCUGUUAACCCAACCCAGGAGCGCCCAUUAAGAAAGAUUAAAAUCUGUAAAAGGAACUAGGCAAACUCAGGGCCCGACUGUUUACCAAAAACAUAGCCUUCAGCCAACCAAGUAUUGAAGGUGAUGCCUGCCCAGUGACCACUCGUUCAACGGCCGCGGUAUCCUA
rnacentral:rRNA from 1 species